CAGUCGGACAGCUUGCUCCCUGAUGUUAGCGGCGGACGGGUGAGUAACACGUGGGUAACCUGCCUGUAAGACUGGGAUAACUCCGGGAAACCGGGGCUAAUACCGGAUGUUUGAACCGCAUGGUUCAAACAUAAAAGGUGGCUUCGGCUACCACUUACAGAUGGACCCGCGGCGCAUUAGCUAGUUGGUGAGGUAACGGCUCACCAAGGCAACGAUGCGUAGCCGACCUGAGAGGGUGAUCGGCCACACUGGGACUGAGACACGGCCCAGACUCCUACGGGAGGCAGCAGUAGGGAAUCUUCCGCAAUGGACGAAAGUCUGACGGAGCAACGCCGCGUGAGUGAUGAAGGUUUUCGGAUCGUAAAGCUCUGUUGUUAGGGAAGAACAAGUACCGUUCGAAUAGGGCGGUACCUUGACGGUACCUAACCAGAAAGCCACGGCUAACUACGUGCCAGCAGCCGCGGUAAUACGUAGGUGGCAAGCGUUGUCCGGAAUUAUUGGGCGUAAAGGGCUCGCAGGCGGUUUCUUAAGUCUGAUGUGAAAGCCCCCGGCUCAACCGGGGAGGGUCAUUGGAAACUGGGGAACUUGAGUGCAGAAGAGGAGAGUGGAAUUUCCACGUGUAGCGGUGAAAUGCGUAGAGAUGUGGAGGAACACCAGUGGCGAAGGCGACUCUCUGGUCUGUAACUGACGCUGAGGAGCGAAAGCGUGGGGAGCGAACAGGAUUAGAUACCCUGGUAGUCCACGCCGUAAACGAUGAGUGCUAAGUGUUAGGGGGUUUCCGCCCCUUAGUGCUGCAGCUAACGCAUUAAGCACUCCGCCUGGGGAGUACGGUCGCAAGACUGAAACUCAAAGGAAUUGACGGGGGGCCCGCACAAGUGAUUGGAGCAUGUGGUUUAAUUCGAAGCAACGCGAAGAACCUUACCAGGUCUUGACAUCCUCUGACAAUCCUAGAGAUAGGACGUCCCCUUCGGGGGCAGAGUGACAGGUGGUGCAUGGUUGUCGUCAGCUCGUGUCGUGAGAUGUUGGGUUAAGUCCCGCAACGAGCGCAACCCUUGAUCUUAGUUGCCAGCAGCACUCUAAGGUGACUGCCGGACAAACCGGAGUGGGGAUGACGUCCAUCAUGCCCCUUAUGACCUGGGCUACACACUACAAUGGACAGAACAAAGGGCAGCGAAACCGCGAGGUUAAGCCAAUCCCACAAAUCUGUUCUCAGUUCGGAUCGCAGUCUGCAACUCGACUGCGUGAAGCUGGAAUCGCUAGUAAUCGCGGAUCAGCAUGCCGCGGUGAAUACGUUCCCGGGCCUUGUACACACCGCCCGUCACACCACGAGAGUUUGUAACACCCGAAGUCGGUGAGGUAACCUUUUAGGAGCCAGCCGCCGAAGGUGGGACAGAUGA
rnacentral:rRNA from 1 species